AGGCUAUCGUUGAUGAGGAGGAGUAAAUAGCUUCUAGCUUUAAAGAGAAUCCCGAUUGGUGGAAAGGGAGAAGCGGAACUGUUGAAGGUAGCCUCGGAGAAGAUUUCAUGAAAGUAAGUAGUGAAGUCCGUAUGACUGCGUUAAAGUCUUAAGGCAUAGCAAUAUGUGAAUUAAGGUGGUACCACGAGACAUUCGUCCUUAGC
rnacentral:ncRNA from 1 species